rnacentral:rRNA from 1 species
UACGGAGGGUGCAAGCGUUAUCCGGAUUCACUGGGUUUAAAGGGUGCGUAGGUGGGUCUGUAAGUCUGUGGUGAAAUCUCCGAGCUUAACUUGGAAACUGCCAUGGAUACUAUAGGUCUUGAAUACUGUGGAGGUUAGCGGAAUAUGUCAUGUAGCGGUGAAAUGCUUAGAUAUGACAUAGAACACCAAUUGCGAAGGCAGCUCACUACGGAUGUAUUGACACUGAGGCACGAAAGCGUGGGGAUCAAACAGG